rnacentral:lncRNA from 1 species
AAGGUAUGACAAGUGCUAUGAUGAAAUAUAAAGCUGGGUAAGGAAAUAGACAGGCGGGGCGUGCUAUUUUAGGGAGCCUGGUCAGGCAAGGCCUUAAUGCUAAAGUUGAGCAGGAAUAUGAAGGAAGCAUGGGCAUAAGCCUGCAGGUGUCUGGGUAAAGAAUGUUCUAGGGAGCAGGAAUAGCAAGUGCAAAGGGCCUCAGGUGGAAGCACGCUGGCACACUUAAGGAACAGCCAGGGAGCAAGUGUGGCUGGAGUGUGGUGGGGAAGAGGGAGGGGGUGGAACAUGAGAUUGGAGGUCACCUGGGCCAGAUCACACAGGCCAGAAAAUGAUGAGAAGUGAUUGGAGAGAAGUGACAGGAAGAUGUUUUGAAAGAAUCCCCCUGGCUGCUGUGAAGAUAACAGAAGAAAACAGAUAUACGCUCUCCAUAUUUCAAGAGACAUGACUGCUGGCAGCUUCCAGAGUCACAUCCUCACUGAUUCACGAGACAAAAAGGAGGGCUUCUCCUCCAGCCAGUGCUAGUUUGAAAAAUCCUAAUGAAGGGUUGACUAGUCUUUACCUGUUGCUUUCCCCUUGGAUGAGAGGGGAGCCUCCGGCUCAGGCCAGGCCUGCUUCGUAGCUGCCUUCAGGAUGAACUGAUGGAACUGACAUUGCCAGAGAGAACAUGCAAAUACUCAUCAGGAUGAGAGAUGGAAAGAGGUGCAUGUUGUCCUUUAAUGCCAGAGGUUUCAGAAACCUUCAAAGAGCC